AUAGGUCCUGGGUACCUGCAGCCUCACGCAGGUUGCGGCCAGCGAGGAAGGGAGGGGCAAGAGGAAGGGUCAUAGGGCACCGGCAGGGCUCAGUCGGUUCCGCUCAGGUCAUGAUCCCGGGGUCCUGGAAUCGAACCCCGCGUCUGACUCCCUGCUCAGUGGGGAGGCUGCUUCCCCCUCCCUCGGUCCCUCGGCUCUAGCUCGUGCUCGCCCCCUCUUGCUCCAUCUCAAAUAAAUAGGUAAAAUCUUAAAAAAAAAAAAAAGAAAAGAAAAGAAAAGAAAAAAAAGAGGAAGGGUCAAGAUCCCUUCCUUCAUCCGGGUCCCCUGGCUGCCGUCCCUUGGGCGAUUGCCCCAGGCCGAGUGGAGAACCUCGGGGCCCCAACUUUGAAGAAGGAGCCCAGCCUCCAGGUCCCUCGGAAAAAUGGGGCCACCAAUAUCUAUCCGUAAUUUCUUUUAAACUCUCGGUCUCAAGUUCCAGGAUGAACCUAGUCCUCUCCGUCCUCCCCCCAUCUGGAGCCUAGCCCCAGGCGCCUCCCCGCCCCCAUCCGUCUCCAUCCCGCGAGCUGGCCUGGCCCCCUCCUCAGCUCACCGCCCUCCCCGGGCUUCCCAACCCCACCCAGCCAAGCAUUGCCACCAAGAAAUAACUCCGUCUCCCACGUCCCGAGGCCCAGUGGUCACACCCUGUGAUUUGCGUGUCUGGUCUCCUCCGCACGGAAAGCCCCCUCCCUACCCCUUCGCAGCCUCUCCCCCAGGUAAGCCCAGAUCACCCAGUUCAGUCCCCUCCCUACCGCUCUGGGCACUGCUGGUUUGUCCUGUCAUUCCCACAGCCCGGAAUUCACACUGUAAGCACUCCUCUGGGGAAGGACUUGGGACACAGAAGUAAGGCCACCACUUUCAAGCCCCCACCGUGAUUCCCAGGACUGGAACGGAAGGUGUGACUCCGGAGCCAGGGAUCCCUGGGGCCACGGUCGGCGAGUGGGGGGGAGGGGAGUUGGGGACUCUGAGGACCCCUGGGUCCUGUGGUUGGGUCCCGCGUCCCUCCCGGAGGUGGGGGAGCAGACCCCGAGAAGCGACCAGGAAACUCAAGUACUACAGGGCUGCACAGUGAUGCUCAGCACUAGUGGCGGGAAAACCCCGCCCAGGAUCUACCUGGCCUCCCCCGGCAGUAGGGAGGCGGGGUGAGCUGGGCUUGGGGAGCCAGGUAUGCCCGGAGCCCCGCCUCCUCCCUCCCUACGUGACCGCUGGGAAGCAGGCCAGGAAGACUCUCCGGAGGAGGAGGACUGAGUCCCCAUAGAGAGGAUUCUCAGGAACUCAGAAUCCCGUAAUCGUCUAUCAGCCGGCCAGGCUAUGCUGGUCUACCGCUGCCAAAAUCAAAUGCCAAGAUCAAGGAGGAACUUUUCCGGGGAGGGAAUGAGGCAGGCACCUCCAGAGCGCCCCACCCCCAACAAUCCUAACAUUGAAACAGGGUGGAGCAGCCCCUCCUGGUCCCUCAGUGAGGCGACAGGAGGCUUGCUGCACCCGCUGUAAAUCUCACAGUCCACUCCUUCGCUGCAAAAUAAGAAACCGAAUCUGAUCAAGUCUCCGGGGUGAGCGCCUCCAGAAAACAGGAGGAUAGAGUUGCCCCGUGAAUGGACACCAUGAGGGCAUCAGGAGCCAAAUCCAGAGUGUGGGACUGUCUACAGGACCACGUGACCUGGUUUCCCUGACUUUGGAGAAAAAGAAAAAGAUGAAGAAGCAAGGGGAGCCUUAUAAUAUAUGCAGAGCAGAUCUUGGGCUCAGAAAUGUAUAAAUGGAUUUUUUUUUAACCUAUAUGGGUGUCUGACCAGAUAUCCGAAAGUCACCAGGGUGCGGGACACGUCUGUCCUAUGUCAUCUUUAGCAGUGUUGAUCCUCAGUCACUAAGAGCUGCAGUAACAUCAGACAACCACUGUGACAACUAUAAAUUCCUCCUAGAUGCCCAGAAUGCCCCCAGGACAGUACUCCCCAAUUGAGGAUAGCCUUGUACCCCUUCAGCAGGACCAGCAGCUAGUAAAUGCUUAGCAACCAGCUCUGGGCUGGCGGGCGUGGAGGUGGUGGGAAUCCCUGCUAAGUAGUGUUUGCCAAUUUCCACAGUGUAAAGAUCACACACCCCCAGCCCGCCUUCCUCCUGCCCAUUCAUCUUCAGUGCUUCUGAUUGGAGCGUGGGCACACCUCCAACAUACUGGGGGUCAGGUUCUGGACAACCACUGUAAAGUAAAUAUCGUGGGUGCCUGGGGGGCUCAGCUGGUCAAGAGGCUGCCUUUGGCUCAGGUCAUGAUCCUGG